UGUCUCCUCCACCCUCCUCCUUUGGUGGAUUCGAACCCAAGUCCAACCGACUUGGGUUUUUUUU
rnacentral:ncRNA from 18 species